GAUGAACGCUGGCGGCGUGCCUAAUACAUGCAAGUCGAGCGAACAGACGAGGAGCUUGCUCCUCUGACGUUAGCGGCGGACGGGUGAGUAACACGUGGAUAACCUACCUAUAAGACUGGGAUAACUUCGGGAAACCGGAGCUAAUACCGGAUAAUAUAUUGAACCGCAUGGUUCAAUAGUGAAUGACGGUUUUGCUGUCACUUAUAGAUGGAUCCGCGCCGCAUUAGCUAGUUGGUAAGGUAACGGCUUACCAAGGCGACGAUGCGUAGCCGACCUGAGAGGGUGAUCGGCCACACUGGAACGGAGACACGGUCCAGACUCCUACGGGAGGCAGCAGUAGGGAAUCUUCCGCAAUGGGCGAAAGCCUGACGGAGCAACGCCGCGUGAGUGAUGAAGGUCUUCGGAUCGUAAAACUCUGUUAUUAGGGAAGAACAAAUGUGUAAGUAACUAUGCACGUCUUGACGGUACCUAAUCAGAAAGCCACGGCUAACUACGUG
rnacentral:rRNA from 1 species